CUGGCUGCGAGUGGGAGCGCGGGGUGCCGCUCUCCAGCAGGAGGGAGGGUCCCCGCCGGGAUCCCCACCUGCGUCCCGCGAACCGAGCAGUUCGUGGCUCAGCGAAGUGAUUUCUGCUCCGUUGGCGAGUUUGGCUGCUGUGGUUGCGACCAACCCGAGCGGACAGAGAGAUGCCUGGGAAUUCGAAACCAGCCAGCUGGGUGCUGACAAGGUAGGAAACGUGAAUAAUCCCCACGCUUCACUGGAGUGGCAGCAGUGUCUGUUUAGAUGAAAGGAGCUCAGAUGAUGAGCCUGAGCAGUGCCGGAUGAGAUCGACCUCCUGCCCUGUGACGUGACAGCAGCUUCAUUUCUGCUAUUUUCUUGUGUUUCUGGAGGUCAAGCUUCAGACCCAGAUAUCAGGAGCAAACACCCAAUGCGCUAGGCCUGACACAGCCCAAGGCAGCCCUUCCUCUGGCAGCAGACACGCAACCCUGCUGUGCACCAUGGAGAAGGGCUGGCCUGCACUCUGCUUGUUUCUUAACUCCCACAUUUCACUUAUUUAAAAACAGCAUUAGUUCAGGAGGGAUAAGGGAUGUCACACUCUCGCUACUUGCAGUGCUCACCCUCAGUGCACAGCCUUUGAAUUCCUCCUGUCCUGCUGCUCUAGACAUGAACUCCAUGCACGCCACUUAGUCAGGGACCAGCUCCUCUCCAGUUCAGUGUCUACAGAAACCUGCUCCCAACCUGCUACUGCCAGGUCAUUCUCGUUCUUCUUCCAUAACCUGGUGUUCCCCAGUCUCCAGCCCCAUUCAACUCCCUUCUUCUCCCUCCUUCUAUUACCACUAUACUGUUGCCCCAACAAUAGGAAUCUCAUAAUCUUCUCCUCCAAAGCAGUGUAGUACUCUCUCUGUACCACAGCACAAACUCACAGAAUGGCUGAGGCAGGCAGGGCUUUCUGGGUCCCCCUGGCCCAGCCCCGCCACAGCAAGGCCACCCUGAGGAGGGUGCCAGGCCCAAAUCCAGGCAGCUGCUGAAGAUCCCCAAGGAGGAGACCCCACAGCCUCUGGGCAGCCUGUGCCAGUGCUCCGUCACCUGCACAGCACAGUAGUGCUGCCCAGUGUUCAGAGGGAACGUCCUGCGUUCCAAGUUGUGCCCAUGGCCUCCUGUCCUGGCACUGGGAAUGACUGAAAAGAGCCUGCCUCCAACCUCUUUGCAUCGUACCUUCAAAUAUGAGCAACAGAGCCCCCCAGGAGACUGAUGCUAGGCUGAGGAAAUGGGUAAGACAUGUGGGAAGCUCUGCCCUCCACUCCCUUUUCUAUCCUUCCCUUCCAUUUUUCCAUUUUCUCCCCUUCAGUAGUCUCAGGCAAUUUUCUUGGGAAAGCCCCACAGAAGAAGGGAAGAAAGAGUUCCUGGCAUGAAAAGCCAGGAAACAAUAAAGGCAAAGAGAGCUUCUGACACAAAGCAGGCAAAUUACAGGUGGGGAAAGGUGCAAAUCCACCUUCCCAUAGGGUACCAGUCUGAGGAGAGCAGCCAUAAGAAAAAUGGGCCCGUGCAGGCUAUUUGGCCAUGACUAGGGCUUUAUAGAGGAGGGGAGUGGGGAGUCACAGGGUCUCUGCCAGGAAGGGAUGAAUAGGCAACCCUGGAAGAGCCGGGACAAGGAUUAUUGACCAACCCUGGGAACUGUUGCCCAAAACAUUCUCGUGAUUCCCUAAUUGAUUGGCCAUGGCAUUCAAAAUAGCACAUUACAGAAAAGCAAGACACAGAAAUGCUAUCAAACUCCGCAAAGGGCCAUCUCAAGCGCAGCCAACAGUGAAUUAACUGGGUACAGCACUUUGAAAAAUGGGAAGUACUGUAAAAGUAGUAGCAUUAUUACAGAAGUAUUAGGAAGAUAUUUCUCAGCAGACGCAGGUUUGGCACUAUCUGUCUAGACGAGUAGAUGGUUUUGGAGUCAAACUGAUUUUUUUAUUACCGUAUCCACUUCAAUUUAUUAAAAGCAAACUGUUCUGUCCAUGACUCAUGCAGCUUCGCUUUCUGCAUGGCAAUGAAACCAAAUUCUCAUAAUUAAGAGCGAUCACUGUGAUACAGCAUCUGAAGGUUAGGUUUAGAAAUCAGACCAAACCUUCUAUUUCUGUCUUCUCUCACUGCAAAUGUUAUGCUCGCAUACUUCUAAUUGGCCACUAUUACCAUUUACUUCAAAUACAGAAGAUGUAAACUUUCAGGUGAGUUAUGAUUCUUCCUUUAGUGCAACUCCAGUGACAGAGGCCAAUUUUUUUCACAACAUGGGUUGGUUGAUCUCAGUGUAGAGAUUUAGAGAUUGCUUUAUUCCUGAUCUAAGUCUUGUUCUCCCAGCCAGUGCCAAACCCACCCCAUUUUAAGAGUUCUGGGGCCUGUAAAUUUUGCCCCAGUGCUUCAGCAACUGAAAUCCUGCAAAGAUUUGCUGCAAUUAAUUCAGCACUGCCCUCUGACACUUUCAUAUCUGUGGCUACUUUCUGACUGAGAGAAUUAGCUGGGCUAUUAAGAGAUUAAUUCCUAUUGCACACCUUCAGUCCUCUUCAUUAACCAAAGGUAACCAAAGUCUUAUGAAUUUAAGGUGUUUUGGGAGUACUCGAGGCUGUACUCAAAACAGAAAUGUUUUUAGAGUAAUAAAUUCCAGUUAUCUCCACAAGGCUUUCAAUUUCAGUUUACUUUUGCUAUGCACAAUCAUUAAUACUGUACUCUAAUUCCAUAUACUUUGAGUCUAGGAAAUUAAAAAUACAGAAGAUAUGUAAUAUGCAGUGAACACUAAUUAGUUUAAGUAGGAUUCCUAAACAGUUUAACAAUGAAUGAGGCAAGGGAAACUCUUAUUUUCCAUUGGCCACCCUGUGACUGAGAGCUUCCUAGAUGGUGACCACCUCAACUAAGGUCAACACAAGCCAUUCUCAUUUCCUGAGGUCAUUUCUGUUGAGUCCAUCCACUUCAGCCCAUGAAGUGCCAACUUUUUGUUCUCAUUCUCACAGUGCAUGCUGUUUCUCUCUGUGGUGCAUUAAACAGGAAAGCAGAUACCUUCCUUCCCCCAUUCCCAUGCCACUAAAAUCUGUCUUGCGUUUCAGUUACAAAACUAUCUGUAGCCUCACGCAUACUCUACUAUUCAUGAAGCAUCUAAUUCAAGAGGAAUUUACCUUGAGCAUAAAGUCUUACUGACUCAAAGGGGACUUAAUGCACAUAUUUAUUAAGCACCAUCAGAAAUAGAAAUGACAUUCUAAAUCGUAACAAAUCUCUUUUUAAGACACCUCUUCCUCAAGACACUUUAAUGAAAUCACUCUCAGCGGCCAGGUUAAUAGGCACGGCCUUACACUGCUUUUGUACCAUUUAUCUUUUGAGCGGCAAGAUUUACCAGGUUGGGAAGGCACUUUAAUGAGUGUUUGUACAGCACCCAACAGAGUUCACCUCUUAUCUUGAUGAAGGUUAAUAGCAAUUAAGAAAAAAGUUCUUGUAUUUAAAGUACAAUGAAUAGUAUUACAAGAAGCUUAGUUAAAAAAGCAUAUUUAAGAAGUUCACGUCAAGAGUGAGCACAUCUAGCCUGUGUCUAUAGCCCUUUCUCCCUGUGUCCCAUCCCUGUCCUGCAGCCUGCCAUGGUUUCACAGCCAGUUUAAAGAUCUGUGUCACCAAGAAAAGCUCCCAUUUUCCCCUCAGUUUGAGUGUUUCUUUGUACUUUUGUCCUGUCUCCUUCAUCCAGUCACUGAAGCAUUUACUGAGUCCAUGGAAGGAAGCAAGCAAAUCUAUCCAAGCUAAAACUACAAAAGAGAGGACAGACCAUAAAUCUGAUCAGUUUCUCGCUAUGAUCACUAUGAUUCCCCCUGAGAUCUCAUCAAUAUUUUUGCACUGACAGAAACAGAGGGAGUGAUCUGAGAAGUGGAGGUGACGGCAGAGUCACACUGCCUCUUUUGGCAGCCACCCCAGCCUGUGUUGGCAUUAGGCCGUGGUGUUGGGCUCCAGUCUUUAUUUAUGUGAGCUCCUCCACAUCAUGUCUGUAGCUUCUUAUGCUCUUCGAAAAUGCAUUAGCUUUUAAAAACAUACUCAAAUUCAGUUCACUUUUGAGAUCUUACAUUCAGAUUCACCUUGGUUGAUAGGACAGUGAGCAGUGGUGUGGGUUCAAACAGUACAACUGAGCUGAAGUUACUGAGAAAUGAAGAAACCCAUUACUUCCUUCUAUGUGGACACAUUUCUCCCCACUGCAUCUCACCGUCACUGUUAGUACUCAAGGUGAGAAAUAUAGGAGCUGUAAUCCAGGCUAUUUGUGUCUUCCACUUCAUAAGAUCUACUGUCAUACCAUAAAGGAAGGGUGCCCUCUCAAAGUGGUGAGGCACUGGCAAAGGCUGCCCAGGGAGGUAGUGGAGUUACCAUCCCUGGAGGGGUUCAAGAAACAUGAAGUGCCACUGAGGGACACAGUUAGUGGGCAUGGUGGGGAUGGGCUGAUGAGAGAACUAGGUGAUCUUAGAGGUCUUUUCCAACCUUAAUGAUUCCGUGAUUGUAUGUCACAUAACUGAUUGUAUGCUCUGAUAGAAAAGAAGCACAUUCCACUUGUUUUUUUCUAACACAGCUAAUGACCAGCUCAACAGAGACCUCCAGAACAUAGGGGAUCUGUUUUUGUGUCUCUCAUUGAAAAGCAAGCCCCUCAAAAGCACAAAAACGUCACAGUUACAUUAAGAGAAGAAAAUUCGUAAUCUUUAACAAACUAAACAAAUUAUUCUCUCACAAAUGACAAUGAUAUACAUUUGUGUCCUAGGCACCAAAACAUACUCAGGAAAGGCAUCUCAGCCUCUCACCCUUUUCAAAAGCCUUUUAUGCUUCACAGAUAAUGACUAUCAUGGACAGCACCUCCCACUGCAAAUGUUUAAUUUACCACAGCUGCUUCGAAUCAGCACUCUGGGAGCAGGUUUGCUCAGUUGCCCCCAACAGCCUGUAUGCAAACAUCUGUCUGUCUGUUCCAGCACACAGCACAGAGUUGCCCAGUGAACAACCUGAAUGCCUUGAGCAUCACACGGACUCACCAAUUCAGAAAAGUUAACCAAGGCAUCACAUCGUGUGGCGUGUCUGAAGUUUGUAGAGAAUUCAUCUGCCAGAGAACUCAGUGAGCUCAGCAGGCAAUUAACACGUCUGGGAAACCUGCCUAGAAGAACAGUUAUCACACAGUACAUACAAAUGCCAACCGAGCAGUUAUUGUAAGAAUAUGUAGCAUGUUUGAUCUUGAAAGUUUUCUUGUCUUUUAGGUCCUCAGCAGCCUCUGUACCAUGAGCCAGUCUCACAUAUUUGUGCCAGGCAGCCUUCUUCUCUCGCACAUCCUCACUACAAAGCUGUUACGAAAUCUUUGUUUUGUUGACUGCUCUUAACCACUUCUUGUUAGAUUUUUUCAUAUCUGAAACUUGCAAAAGACUUUCACUGAUUAAAGGUGGUACAGAAAAAGAUAGGGGGUUGAUGGCUGGCUUAAAAUCAAAACCAGAACAAUGGCUGGCCUUGUAGAGAAGUUAGCAUGCAAAGUGGUUGGGCAAGAGCAUCCGGUGUCAUACUCAGUUCUACCAGUUUGCGCUGUAGCAAUUGCUUACCGUGUGCAAAACUUACUAACUAAAGGAUACGGAAUAUUUCAGGUACAAUCUGUUUAGCACACAGGAAGUAGUGAUAGCUGUGCUUAUGAAAUCACAAAAGUUUUAGAGUUUUACACAUAGGCAAUGAGUGCGUGCUGUGUGUACAGAGGUGAUGCAUUCAGAGUGGAAUGUGAGAGGAAAAGCCAGCUGCAAACAACUGUGCCAUGGGCAUUUACCUUGGGUAAGCCUGAUGAGCACCUCCAGGUGACAUCUUAUAGGCCACCAAGCUGGAAGACACGUGCAGUCUCCACAACUCAUCGUGGAGUUGUGCUCAUCUCCACAACUGCAACAAAAGAGCUGGAGACAUGAAGGACACAGCCAGUAUCUCAGGUACCUGAGAAAACCCAUGGCUAAACAUGACUACUGGAGGACAGGCACCAGUCCCAGUACAUGGUGAGCUUGGCACAUCAUGAAGGCCCAGUAACACAUCUGACCUGAGAAACACAAGUUCUGUGGAACAGAUAAGCUGUAAACACCGACAAAUAGAUAAGGCUAAAACGAGCCUGAAAUUCUCAUCAUUUGCUCAGCAUUGCAAUACAGCAGCAAUACCAUCUUCAACAGGAUUGUAUACUCUUUCUGUUAGUUUUCCAAUGUUCCUGUACUAUUUUCUACACUGUUUCUAUAGAACUCUCUACAUACAUGUAUUUUAUGAAAUAAAAGGGACCAGGUCCUCUUAAGAGUUUCAAUUUCCCCUUCUUCCUCCCAGCUAGACCUUUACAUCUCCUCUUUUUGCAUAGGCUUCAUGGCUCCAAAGAACAGCAAAGCAAUUUGUGGAGCGGAAGCAGAACAUUACAACAGUCUGCUACUAGAAGAAGAAAAUUAAACAUGGAAAGGGGAGGUGGGAUGAAUCAUGCUGAGUCGUAUGACAUUUCUUAAAAAAAAAUCCCAAAACUUUAAGAUUUAUUUUUAGUGAGUAACAGCAAUCUAGCAUUGUAUAACUCAAACUCCCCCAUGAAGAACCAGUACAAAUUAUGCGGAUCUACUCUUAUCCAGGUUAUUGCAUCUCUAUAGACCAUAAUUUCUUUUUUUUUUUUGGUACUUUUCUGUAAUUUUCAUUGUACUGUGGUAACUUUUACUUUCUAACAUAAAAUAAACUUGAACUAAUUGUAUGUGUGAU